ensembl:lncRNA
GGUUAGUAAAAUGACUUUUUAUUUCUUGAAGCAAGAGAACAGCACAUCUUUUAAUUUCAGUAAUUAAUAUAAAACUGAAACACACCAAAUAUGGAUAUUUACAUUUCCUUUUUCUUUCCCAGACUAGAGGUAUAGCUUAAUAUUUAUACCACACAUACGAAAAGUGGGUUUUAACAUUUCAAUAUUUUUUCUGUAAACAUUAGUUCCUUAACCACAUGUCAUCUUUUUAAAUUUGUUCUGGGAAACCAUGUGUCUCAAGAUUUUUCUCCUUUUUUAACCCCCUCCAGAAGUAUUAGUUAGAAUUCCAUUUUUUUUUAAACUUCCAGUUUGACGGUAGAGCUGCAAUCUGACAUUCUACGUAUAUUUCUCUCUAUCUUCCCACCUCUUCAUGUAAAGAGCUAUUGCCACAGACCCAAGUUAAAAUGAAUGAGAUUCAUUCCUUAUCCCAAAGUGUCUUCCCGAUGAAUUAAAGAUUUAAACGUAAAAAACAAAACUGUAAAAAUACUGAAAUAAUACACGAACAAAUAUUUAGAGCAUAAUUUAAAACCCAGAAACCAUAAAGAAAGGAGUGUGUAAACACUAAGACUAAAUAUUUAAAACUUGCACAGAGAAAAACUCUCCGUUAACAACAUCAAAAGGUAAACAGAAACUGGAAUCAAGAAACAAUCAAAGGAGAGACAAAGGGCUAUUCUAAGACACUAAGAGAAGUUAAUAAAAAACAGAGGAACAGCCAAGUAGAAAAAAACUACAAAUGACACAACUAGGUAGUUUCUUUAAGAAGAAACAUAAACUACCAGUAAGCAUGACAAGAUUUCAACUUACUAAUAAAAAACUGCAAAACAAACAACAAAAGAAUUUUUUUUCUCAUUGAGUUAGGAGAGUCUUAAAAAAAUUGACGAUACCCAACGUUGGCCAGUGAGUGGAGCCCGGAGCGUAACUGUGAGACAGCCUUAAAGAUGGAGGCCACGCCCAGGGAUGAUGGGAUGGAAAGACAGAAGCAGCCCCUGCAGCUGCUGCACUAACCCAGGACUGCUGACCUCUGGGCCUGUUACAAAGAAAAGCAAAACCUUACUUGCUUAAGCCACUCCAUUGCAAUACAUGCUGCCUAACACGGUCCUACUCUUACAAGAAUUAAAGGGGUUUCCCAAAGAUGGGCAGCGGCAAUGCUCAGAAACAUAUGUGGUAGCACAGCAGAAAGGAGAAGGCUGACAUUUGGAGCCAGGCCUGAGUUCACAUCCUGGCCUUGCUACUUGUUCCUGCAGACGUUAAACAGUGACUUUGAAGCUGUUUACUCAUAUGUAAAAUGCAGAUGGUAACAAAUUAAAUUGUGUGAGGCUUAAGUGGGAUAAUGUGGGAAUGAAUUUACCACAGCUCCUGACACCUAGUUAGGUGCUCAAUAAAUUGAAACCAUUAUUUUUUUUUAAAAGAUCUAGUUUUAAGUUUGCACAGAAGUUCUUUUUAGUGUGGUGAAUAAGAUUAUGUCCGGGGACACUCCAGAAUAAAUACAGGGCAUCUUUAAAAUUUGAAUAUAAUAUCCACAUCUAAAUAUAUUUCUAUGUGGUUGAUAAAAAGAUUCAUCACUGCUUUGCCAAGCAUUAUUAGGUAGUUCACAGGAUUUCCGGAAGAGACAGAGACCCAAGACCAGAUGCUAAGCAGCCAAGAACAAAUCAUGUCUGCAGAAGACCAUGCUAAUGUCACUACAGAGACAUGCUGCUAAAGGCAGAGAUUCUUAAUAAAAGUUGGAGGUGGGAGGAGAGAGUAUUUUAAGGAUGCUUUUUAGUUUUCAGCGCUCAGGCCCCCGUCAGCAUGAAGCCCCUCUCCUGGGCAGAAUCCCCGUGAGAGGAUUCAGUUUCACGCUCUCAUCUAUUCUUUCACUCAACAAAUACUUAUUGGCUCCUGGUCAGAUGCCCUGCCAGGGGCUAGAGAGCAGCCACAGUCUUGCCCUUACGGAAUCAAUAGGCCGGCAGAGGAAAACGAUAGCAGACAAAUAAUAAUAGAAAUAAUUAGGUAAUUGUAUUUGAUGGAAACACUCUUACAAGAAGCAAAGUUUGCUAGGCGAGCAUAUAACAGAUGGACUUCAUAUAUUCAAGGUCAGGGUUGGUUUUCCUGAGCAAAUGAUAUUUGAUAAAUAAUAUUUCUAAUAAUAGCCUGUGUUUGUAUCAUAAAAUUAUAAGCUGAUUAUUUUAAACAUGAGACCUAUGAACUCUUCAGGGAUCUCAAAAAAGUUUUAAGAUCUGUUAAAAAAAUACGUUGGCUCUAAAAUAUGAAAACUGCAGAACUGAAGUAUUAAAUAGCUAAAAAACAUUAUUUCCUUUCAUAUUCAUAAAAAUGUCAUUAAUUUUUAAAAUAAUUUGUAGAUUAGCUUUUUUCAAUUCAAAGGAAUUCCAGAGAAUGUGUGAUGAUUGAUGAGAAACUAUUGCCAAUUGUAAACUAAGUGACCACCCGAGAGCCCGAUUCUUAAAAUGAGUGACAAAAAGCUGUUCAAAUUUAUAUUUUUUAAAUAUGAAAUUAUAUUUCAUGUGAAAUGGGCUACAUGUUAAUAUAUUUGGUCUUGUGUAGGGUGGAAUAUGGUGCCUACGAAGACCUUAAAAUGGUCUGAUUUUAAGGCCUUGGGAGGCUCAGGGCAGAGGAUCUCAGACGGCACAGAGCAGCAGAUGGCUGUCAGGACCUGAGACUGGGCGGUACAGAUGGGUCCUUAUCAGUCGAUACAGGGUGUCACAAGCAUGGGAGAGAGUAGGCAAUAGGGAACUCACAAGGAAGAAACAUUGCUCUCCCGCAGGUCGAGAGAACAUCUGCAUCCAGAGAAAUCUACUCCUACUUGUCACUCUCCACUGGCCUCCCUUUCGCCAUCACUACAUUUCCAUCACGGUCCCUUUCCACACUCCAUUCUGAUUCUACCUGAGUAAUGAUUUUCAUUUCUGAGUGAGGAUACAAUGAGCUCCAGAGUACUGGUGAGUCCUUGAAUCUUGCAAAUGAAUGGAGUCUGAGGAGUGGCAGAAGAAAAGAUUCCCUGGAUGUGGAGGCCCUUGACAAUCACAGGAAACAAUCACGAGACAAUCACGAGAAACCACACUCAAGAGGCCCUCCUUCUGACACUUAACACCUCACUUCACAGACUGUGGCCUCUCCUAACACGCCAGAAACGUGACACCAAUCAAUAGGUCACAUUCUACUUGCUAUUACCUGCUAAAUCUGACCUUUCCACUCUGUCCUGAUAGGUUCUUCCCACAAUGAUUGCUCUAUAUCUGGAUACUGGUAUUUAAUUAAGAUAAUGAGGACUUAGUCACUACCCUUGCCCUAAAAGUUGGCGUCUUAUUCAGAAAUAGCAAAGCCCAUUCAUUCCACCCAUAAUCACCUCACUAACAACUAACAAGCUCACUUUGCCAUGCACCACACUACAUUUCCCCUCUGCAAGUAAUGCUCGAAAAAUCUCUCUUCUGCUAAUUCCCCCAAAGCAUCGCCCGUUAUUUUAAAUCCUGUUGUAUUAACACAUUUAACUAUGUUCAGAUGUACAAAAUAACUAUAAAUAAAUACAGCACCAAAAGAAAAUCUUCAUUGAUUGCUAAAUGGAUAGGUUGUGAAUACAGCUUAGAAAAAAUUAUUACUGUGAAUAAGCAAAAAGGAUGUUUUAAUAGAGGUUGUUACCAAGACUUAUAGCAUCUUUAUCUCUAACUAGCUAAAAGACAUUAAUAUAAGCCAUUAUUAUAUUAUAAAACUUGUAUGUUACUCAGUGAAAUUUUUUAACUUUAUGGAGACAAUUUCACAAAGUAACAUUAAAAUGCAGAAUUGAAAAACUAUCAAUUGUUAAGAUAUUCCAAAUUUACUUAGGGAGAAGUUGAAAAUCUAUAGUCAAAGAUGCAUUUUUCCAUAACUUAUUCCUUUUUUUUUUAGAUUUUUAAAAAUUUUUCCUUUUUCUCCCCAAAGCCCUGGUACAUAGUUGUGUAUUUUCAGUUGUGGGUCCUUCCAGUUGUGGCAUGUGGGAUGCCGCCUCAGCAUGGCUUGAUGAGUGGUGCUGUGUCCGCACCCAGAAUUCAAACCGGCAAAACCCUGGGCCACCAAAGCGGAGCACGCGAACUUAACCACUCAGCCACGGGGCCGGCCCCCUAUUCCUCUCUUUUUAAAGUCACAAACAUCACAUUUUCUUUCUUCUCCAGUAGUCUCAUUUCUAGCCUCCAUAAAGCUUGACGAUUUGAAAUUUUGUAUUUUAUAUUAAAUCCCUUGAUGCAUAAACAGAGAAGGCUAGGGCCAAGUGACAACAACUGCAAUGUGCAAUUGUGACUCACGUACUGGAGAAAUCCAUCCAACUCAAGUUGACUCCAACUUGAGAAAUCCAUCAGGUUAGUGCUUGGGUGUAUAGGAAGCCCUGGGGAAGAAUGGGUACAUUAUGAAGCUUUUGGCACACUUGUAAAUUAGUUAGUGAGAGCUAAAGGCAAAUGGGGAUUUUAGCCAGUUGAUGACUGGCCUAUUUUUAAUUUAGAAUUGUAAGCAGAAGGGGCUGUUUAUAAUCAGCCAAAAUCACAAAAGUGAUUAAGAUACGCCCUAGAAAUAAAUCAGGGGUUUUGCAAGUUCCCGAACAGCCCUAUCAAUGUGUGUUUAGUGUACACACUGAUAUUCCAAAUACUCCACUAGAUCAAAAGAUUUCACACAACUCCCAAAGUCUAACCUACUCCCAGAGACUCAGAUAAUGACUACAAUGUUAAGCUCUGGCCCCAAGAAGCACCUUUAGGCUCACCUAGAAAAUCCCACCUAAAAUGCAAUUUAACUUGAGUGUUUUAAGAGAUUACCUGAUGGCGCAUCUUCAUAGCACUGGUGCUACUGAGAAGCCAUAUGGGAGGGGAGGGGAAUCCUAAAGCCCAUCAGAUGAACUUUUCUUGUUUCUUCAUCUCUUCCACAUUAAUUAACUUCCACAGUUUGGGGAUUUGAGGCCCAAAUCUGCACUAUCUGUGGGAAUUCUGGAUAAUCAUUUAAUUUCUGCGGCCUCGGUUUGUUGGUGGGAUUUUUUGUUUUUAAAUCAGAAAAACAAAAGGACAAGAAGAGGGAGUCUCAGCUCAAUGAUCCCUAAACUUCCUUUUCUAGCUCUAAAUAGAUUUUUCUUAUCUUUUCCUUGGGAUUUGCUAAAUAAUACCAGUACAAUGGAGCCCUUUUAGUUGUGCUAAGGUUGCCAACUCUUGCUUUAGAUUUGGGCCUCAAAAUAAAGCAAACCCAAGUGAUUCAAGGUGGUGAUUCAAUAUUUGUACUGCCCGCAGAUAAAUAUGCUCCUCAGUCUCGAAUACGCUAAACAAGACUGCACAAACCUGAUGGCAAAAAUUACUAUCCCUAAGUGCCCUAAAGAUUCCUGACCAGCAGGCAUGGGGCAUAUUCGCUUCUUCAGAAAAGAAAAACUAAACACAAUUUCCUCUAUACACACCCACAUCCAUGCGAGCUGCACUUGGAAAUUCUGCAACGGCAGUAUUUUCAUUUGUAAGCAACCAAAACAUUACAGACCUGUUAGAAUUUACCUGAUUUUCCUCAAUCAAACCAAACCAAAAUACAAAAGGGUUGCCCACAGUGCCAUAAAGGUCCUCAUAAAUAGUUUUAGCCUCAUUAUAAAAGGCUUUUGAAUUCCAUCAAAUUGUGGGAUGCAACAGCCUCAAAUAGGUUCCCCCACACUUAAAAACAAACAGGAUGACUUGCCAACUGUGGCGACAAAGCUGGAACGAGGCAGAGGCUGAGCUGAGGGGCCUCCUGCCCCAUUUUGCCCCACGCAGCCUUCACCCUCCUCUGCACCCCUGGGAGCGGCAGACGGCGUGCCCAAACUCACUCCCUCCCCUAGGACCUUACCUGACAGGUGAGCGUUUUUGCUACUGUCAGAGUGAUCUCCCCCAGAGAAAAGAACAGCUACAAUGACUACUGACUGAUUUGAAAGAAGAGUAACUUUCACCUCAGCUCCUACAUUUCCCGAUGGUUUCCAAAACUGCAGCACAUCACAAUCACCCGGGAAGCUUUUAAAACCCAGAUUCAGGCCCUCCCCUUCUCAAUCAGUUAAAUCAGUUUCCAAAGGUGCAGCCCAGGAAUCUCUAGUUUUAAACUCUCCCUUUGCUUUUUGAUGCAGGAGGCUUGAAAAACAUGCCUCCACCUCAUUUUCUUCCAUCUCUCCUAGUGUGUUCUUGCACAAACUGGUAAGCAAGGUCUCUGAACCACAGAAUGAUCAGUUUUAUGUAUUAACUAAAAGAUCACACCAAGAACUUAGCUGGAUCAGUACAAAGAGGAUAUAGUAAACAGUAAUCUGCAGAAAAUGAUCUCAAGUUCAACUUUUUCCAAGACUUGAACUAAGUAUGUAUGAUUGGGAGACAUAAAUAGAUAAGAUGCAAGAAAUAAAAAGUAUCACUUUCAGAGUAAAAAUUAAGUCUGUAGUCUGGAGAACUUCUUGAGAUUAAUACUGUGAAUUUGAGAGGAUUGCCAUGGCGGGCUGAAUAAAGAGGCCCCUAAGACGUCCACUUCCCAAUGCCCAGAGCCUGCGAGUGUUACUUUAUACGGCAAAGGGACUUUGCGCAUGUGAUUGAGGAUCUUGAGAUGUGGAAAUGAUCCUGGAUUCUGCAGGUGGGCCCAGUGAUGUCAUCACAGUGUCCUCAGAAGAGGGAGGCAAGAGGCAGAGAGCCCUCUGGAGAAGGCCGCGAUGAUGGAGGGAGCAACUGGAAUGAUGCGGCCACGAGCAGCUGAAAGAGGCAAGGAACAGAUUCCCCCUGAGCCUCUAGAGAGAAGCAGGAACCUAAUUUUAGCCCAGUAAAAUGGAGCUUCAGACCUCAAGAACUGGAAGAGAAUAAAUUCAUAUUGUUUUAAGCCACUAAGUCUGUGGUAAUUUACUACAGCAGACAUCGAAAACUAAUACAGUCACUAAUGUGGUAUCACAACAAUCAGAAUCAAAGAUCUGCAUUUGUUUGUAAAAUGACAUUUAAAAAACCAAAAGCACCAAAUAUUUUAAGAGUGGUUUAAAUAUUACCCAAAUCAUGGCAAGAAAAAUUUCUCUCUAUACAUACAUACUUGGUUUUAAAAACACGAUGACAUUUUUUAGGGCAGCUAAGUAGAGGUGUACCCUCAAAAGUCAAAGGAUUUUACUGAAUUAGUGGAAUUGGGUGAAGUGGGUAUCUCAUUUGCUAGUGCAAUAAUGACCAUACCCACUGUUUCCUCAUCUCUGGGGUUCCCUUGUUCCUUUGACUCCCCCCAGUCUACCUCUGACGGGGAGUAGGGGAAAAUAUAGGGACAGAAUCCUGUCCAUCCAUUUGAUUUAGCCUCUUACUUUUAGAACUAGGUAUAAAGCAUUUUUAAAAAAUAAACUAACAUUUUCUUCUAGACACUAAGGAAAAACAAAAACAUUAAAAUCAGCAAAUACAGAGAUGUACAAAAUUCUUUUACAUAAAGCAUAUUCUAUGAGAAUGUUCCUUUGACACCGUCACCAAAAAAGGACAGAGAAAAUCCUAUAAUCUACAACAAACUACAAUUUUUAAAUGAAAAUUUCUAAUUGUUAUAUAAGAUACAGGUGGUUCUCAUGAGGUCUACCCAAAGUGGUUUAGAGCAGAAAUCCAGAUCAGGAUAAAACGCUGAUUUCAUUAAGAAAAUGAAUGAGAAUUUUACUAAUUUUGAAUGUUGGUGCUGUAGCUAAUCCUAGAAUCAAUGAGACACUUAAUUGACAGACUAGCUUCAUGGAUGUAAGUUCAGGACAUCAAGUGUAUUUAUCUUUUGCAAAUAUGGUAUUUGCUUAAUUACAUUAGAUUCCCACACUUGAUAUGAAGCUUUAUGUACUACAAAAAAUGUAAAUAGAAAAACCAAACAAAUGGAGUACUGAAAUUAGAUACCCAGCCCACAUAAAAUAUCCAUGCAUCCCCAAAUGUUAGGAAUGAGGCUCCUAAUUAAAUCUUUCAGAUGAGUAAUCUAACCCUCUAGUGGAUUCUCUUGACAGUUAUCUGGUUGUCUACUGUUAUAUUGUACCCUACACUAAUAAUGCAUCCUGGGCGUGGACCUGCCCGGGGUCAUCAGGCCACACUGUGGUGGCACCCCAUACAAAAUGGAGGAAGAUUAGCACAAGAUGUUAGCUCAGUGACAAUCUUCUUCAAGCAAAAUGAGAAAGACUGGCAGCAGAUGUUAGCUCAGGGCCAAUCUUCCUCACAAAAAAAGAAAACAUUUGGAUUUUUUUGACCAUCUCAAAUAAACUGCUAAAUGAGUACUAAGACAUCCUUAGUGUCUCCUUAGUUAACAAUUAGCUACAUUCAAGAAAUAAGUCAACUACUUUUACUAAAACAUUUGCACAACAUGGAAGAACUACACCAAGACACCUCUAGCACAUUCAAGAAGUAUUCAAAAAGUAAAGUAUAUAAAAUGUAGAAUUUACCUGUGCAAAUAAAAUUACAGGGAGCCUUCAGGUAAAAAGAUGUCAUCAUAUAGAGAGUAGGACAAAGUACCCACAGAAAAAAAUAACUAAUUCUAUUACAAUGAAUUUCACAUCAGUUGGUAAACAUGUUUAAAAUUGUAACACAGUCCUUGCUAAGAAUGCAAUCUUGGAUUUUAAAUUUUAUUCUGAUAUCAAAAAAAUGUUAACUCAUUAAGAAUUUAACUGAGAAACUGUUCUAGAAAUGCAAAUUUAAUACAAGUCAAAGAAAAUGUACACACACAAAAAAACUAUAUUUACAAGAACAUAAAUUAUUAAAAGUUAGCUACUUUCCCAGAUAUGAUAGGAGAAAAAGAGUGAGUUGACUAUAUGUUCAAAAUAAUUUUAUAGAAAGAAAAUUUUAACUUUUGGAUCUAUAUAGGAUAAUCCAAACAAAAAGUAGAGACUAACUUCCUUCUUGCACAGAACUGAGUCUUCCCUUCUCCUCUUCUGAGAAUGCUGACUUUAGAAAUCAAUAGUUUGCCAGCUCCUUAAUUUUUUUUAAUACCACUUAGGUAUACACAUGUAUAUUUUAAAAAUUCUGUAAACAGUAUUAAGGAAAAACAGUACUGUUUCAUUUAGGUCUUAGUAUGGUGAGCCAACUUGAUGGUACAAUGAGAUGUCAAUACGAAUACAAAAGCAAGACUACUACAAACUAACGUUUUCUUUUGGGGAUUUUUUUUUUAUCAUCAAUUCCAAACACACAGUACAGGUAAGAUGGCAUGAGAAAGAAAAAAAUCAUAUUUAUUUCCCCAUGAACACCAAACCAUGUUAUUCAAAAUGUGUUUCUUAGCCAGAUUACCAAUCCCAGCCACUGCCUUAGUUCAAAUGUUCACUAAGAAAACAGUCAAGCAACAGAAAUCCACUGUGAGACACUGCCUAGGGAGAACAGCUACUUUGCUAUAUAUAAUUUAUUAACUUAGUAGUUUAGUCUCUCAAUAUUCAGCAAGUCUGUGUAAAAAUUACUUUUCUCACUGGUUUAUAGUGACAUUAACAUAAAUGCCUAAUUUUAAAGUCAACAUUCCUUUCAUUGUGAACAUAAAGCUUCUUAAAAGAUAAUCACGAGUUGGGGCAAAGUAAUGACUGGCUGCUGGAACAGCAGUGUUCAAAGCCAAAUAUACUGGCAGGCUUGGAAAGGCAGAAAUAUAUAUACACGCUCUCAGUAUGCUACUAUUUCCCACAGUUUUGCUGUACAUACUUGUCUAAUGAUACUGCAUAAAUUAUUUCCUCAAAUUUGAAAAAAAAUCAAGAUGAAUAUAUUUUCAUCUUCAUUUCAAAAUAACCCUUUUCAAUGAAAAAGAAUUUCUCCAUGUUUGUUAACUCUGUUCAAGAGAUGGAUUUAAAUAUUUUUUCACUACCUGUACAAUUUUUUUACCCUAUCUUAGUGCCUCAUUACAACCAGUUUAGCAAUAAGACCUCCAGUGCUGUUAAAAAUACCAUUCAAUAGAUUCUAAGAUUGUAAAAUCUGCAGUUGAAUCCUUCUUAAGACACCAAAUGAUAACAAAGUCCAAAAAAUGUAUGACCAUUAAUCAACAUCCUCAGAACCUGGGAAUUAUUGCAAAAAAUCUCACAUGUGCAUAUAAUUUAAACAAACUUUAUGGGAGGGGGUGUAAAAUAAAUACUACACUAUAUUUUUCAACUCUAUUUAAAUGCUGCUUAGAUGGUUAGAUGAAAAGAUUAAUAUUACUAACAGGGAGAGCCAAACUACUUUAAAGACUGUUUUCCAAGUAGUUAGAACAAUUUUGCAAGACAAAGACAAGCAAAAGCCUACGCCAAUACAUUUUUCCCGUAGUGUAAUGUAAUUGUGAAUAUGAGGUAUAAUCUGUAAGCAAUACAAAUAUAAAUAUAAAUAGGUAUAAGCCACCACUACAUCACAGUCUGGUGAAAAGCUUCUCAGCUAAUGUAGUCUGGGGAAGAGUUAAGGAAAAUGAGGAGAAGGGAAGGACAGGGCAGGUUUCCACUGGGAACAUCAUUUACAUGCCUUAUUAUUUAUCACCUUGUAUGUAACAGUCCACUGUUGCAGAAAGGUAAAUCCUUUCCAGGUAUGCUGGUCUAGAAUAUACUUUAUGUAGUACAGUAAAAUUAUUUCAGUAUUACUAAUGCUUCAUAUGCAUUUAUAUUUGGAUAUACACAUAAGCAUAUAUGUAUAUCAAAAACUAUAAACAGAAUUUUAAAACAUUUUUAUCUCAUUUCUGAAAAGUUAACAGUUAAGACUGAACCACGUACUACAGAAUUUUCUAGAAUAUCUAAACUUAGGGGUAAAACCAAAAGAAAACAUUAUUAUUUCUUUAGUAAAUGGUUUGUGCGAAACCUCAAGCUCACUCAUCUUUUUACAGAUGGGUUUAUUUGAUGAGGAUUGUGAU